GAAACGUCAGUAAACUUCUACCAGACUACAUGGUGCAACAACCUAGAAGACAGCCAUCUUCAGACUCACAGCCGUGAAAACCUCAAAUCCUACAUCUUAUGGCACCUUUCAUUUUGUAUUUUUUUCCAUUAUACUUGCAGUAAACAAUAGAAGGUACAGUCCACGACUGUAAUCUAGUGACUUGUGGGGUGAAGGAUGAAGAAGGAAAGAUAGCGUCUGCCUUUAACGAUCCUCUUGAGAUACUGUUGAGAUCAACAACAAGCAUAUUGGACUUUGAAAUGAGAUUCUGUUAAAGCUAUAUGCUAUGCAUUCAGAAUUAUGUAGAAUAUGAAAUUCCUUAUCUUAUGUUUAAACUAUUUGCCAUGUUUGUAUACAUCUUGUAAGGGACUGCGGCUACACAUAUUGACAAAAAUGAUUAAUUUCCGUUUUAUCUUUAGUGCAAGCCUAAAUCACUAACUUUAUUUUAUGUAAGCCAGUGUCACUCUUCGCAUGGUAGACUAUGUAUAGGGAGUCUAGCAUAUACUCAGAAACAAUAUUCCAUUCUUUUAGGUGGAGUCACACGGAUGGACAGUUCCACUUGGUCGGAUAAUGUGCAGGCAGGUGAAAAAGAUGAAACCAUCCGUGACAUGGUCUGACCUGACUACAACCCUUUAGUGCUUUCUUUAGAGAGCCAAACACCAAGAAAUCACACAGUGACAAGUCUGGGCUAUGUGGAGGUUGGUCUAACACCUUUUACUUAAUGUUUCUUGGUACAGUGCAGGCCACAUGGUGAUGGGUGCUAUCAUGAAACAUUAUGACACCUCUUGUUGGCACUAAGGAACUGAGGGAUAGCUCAUUGGUCAUAUUCAGCACCUAGAAAGCCAGAUUUUAAUGGUGCCACACUUUCUGUUUGCUGCAGUGCACCAGUUCUGUUUCAGUGGUAUUUUCGACUGCUCAUGUGUCGUGCACUCAGUUGUUUGGUCACCUGUGACUGACCAUAUUCACUAGCAGUGAUACAAAUGUGUUACAUUUGAACAACCCUUACAAGAUUCUGACAGUUUGACAUACUGCUAUUAUCAAUAUUUGUAAUGUUGAACUGCAUUUCCCAAAAUUUGUUUUCAAAUGACAUAUAUUUUGUAAUUCCUGUGUGUCCAGUAUAUUUAAAAUGGUUUCACUGAAAGCAAUACUGCCCUCAGAUUUCUUGUUAAAUAGUAAUGGUGUAGCAUAUCACAGACCAGACCCAUUGAGAUUGAACAAAGAGUUUAAUUGACCAUCAUUCUAUUAACAGAUUGAGUACUUUUGUCUGGUACUAUUCUUAGACAUUUCUGUGCAAGUAUUCAAGUAAAGAAAUUUGCAAGGUGGAGGGGAACAAAGAAGCAUUUCUUUUAUUACCAAAAUAGAUUUAUUGUAGGAUAUCAGAGUGGAAAUGUAUGAAAUUUGAAAUAUGUUUUACUUGUGUCUAUAUGUUUAUUAUGUUACAUGAGGUAGACUGGCUUCUGUACAGUGUAAGUAUUUAAAGAUUUUAUUUUGUAUUGUUUGCAUUUAUUCAGAAAUGUUUAAAUAGUAUACGUAUUAAAAUGAUCCAAUCCUUGAAGGAGAUUCAAAAUAUUAUAGGGCAGAUCGAACUUCCUGUUUUUAAUAUGAGACCAUUUCAAAUUGGAUUAGUGAUACCUGCAUAAAAUUAUUUAGUCUGAGAUGUUUUCAAUACAUAUAUUAUUUGUACAGUAUAUUACAGUUAAUGCAUUGGAUUUAUCGUACGUUUAUUUUUCUUUAAAAAUAUUAUUUAUUGCAUCGUAAUGUUUACUCUUGAUCCCAGAUUAAGUUGAAUUCCAGUAGAAGGAUCAGUCAGGCCAUACUAUGGAUUGUAUAUAGUUAUUCACUUUUAUUCCUGUAAGUGGCAGCUUCUAGUUUUAAAGAUACAUGUCCUGAUUGCAGCAUAUUCAGUAACAUUUCAAGGAGAGGCCUGCAAAUGUUGGAUUUAUCAGAUAAGUUCAAAAUUUGCAGCUGUCUGCUUUAGUAUUCUAUAGAUAUUGUUACUACCCCUUUAAAUAUAAAUCAUAAUAGUGAAUACAUUUCAUUCAGUGAAGUGAUUGUAAAGAAAACAAAAAUGUUUCAUAAGUUAAAAAUGUCACAACCUUGUGGGAUGGUGUACAACCUAUUGAUCCUAGAAUUGGUAUUUUCCAUGUGUUUCUUGAAAUAUAGUUUCAUAGUGACUUCAGUGUAAAGAACUAAUCCCCUCCAGAUCCAUGUUAAGUUAUGUUUUGUGUGCUAUAUUGUUUGUGCUGAAUACAAAUCGUGUAUCCCAUAAAAGUAUCAUGACUUUGGUAAAGAACAGCUGGCAACAAUAUUUUCAGUUUAUUAAUGGUAGAUUGCCCAUCCUGUGAGCAUGACUUUGCAACUUCAGUUUUCAUCCAGGGCAACAAUUUUUCACUCCGCUGAAGUCAGAUAUAACAUAGAAUGUUUUGAAAUUUGAAAAGAGCAAGAUCAGAUCACUUUAAUUCUUGAUGUGCUUAUAAUACUGUGUUGAGUUGAGCCAAACAUGAUGUAAUAGAUACUUUAAAUUCAUGAACAUUGUGUGGAUUUACUGUUAGAAUUAAUCUUUUCUGGAAGGAGUGUUGGUACACAAUUUUUUUUAUUAAAAACCUGUAUUAUACAAAUUUGGUUUUCUGUGAUAAAGUAAAUGAUUAUAAAUAAGAACUUUGCAGAAAAAAAUAGAAUUUGCUCAUUUACAGCCAAACAGUGUGUAAAUUAAGGAAAAUCAAACAAUUCUGAUAACAUUUGGAAGGCAUAAUUAAACUCAGUGGCUUAUACAUAACAUGACUGAAUUGGUGUGAACUUAUGAGAACAGACAGUGAUGCAGUCCUGUUUUUUUCACUACUGUGAAAAGUAUUCAAAUGUUUUUUUAUGUUUAAUUUGCACUCCAGUGCAAAACAUUUAAAGUGUAAAUUUUAUUGCAAAGUGUACAUAACUGCUGAUAAUAAAGGUUUACUAUACUGUAUUAAAUUGUAUAUCACUUGAGCUAAAAAUAAAAUACAGUUAAUGAAUA